GGGCAAGUCUGGUGCCAGCAGCCGCGGUAAUUCCAGCUCCAAUAGCGUAUAUUAAAGUUGUUGUGGUUAAAAAGCUCGUAGUUGAACCUUGGGCCUGGCUGGCCGGUCCGCCUCACCGCGUGUACUGGUCCGGCCGGGCCUUUCCCUCUGUGGAACCCCAUGCCCUUCACUGGGUGUGGCGGGGAAACAGGACUUUUACUUUGAAAAAAUUAGAGUGCUCCAGGCAGGCCUAUGCUCGAAUACAUUAGCAUGGAAUAAUAGAAUAGGACGUGUGGUUCUAUUUUGUUGGUUUCUAGGACCGCCGUAAUGAUUAAUUGGGACAGUCGGGGGCAUCAGUAUUCAAUUGUCAGAGGUGAAAUUCUUGGAUUUAUUGAAGACUAACUACUGCGAAAGCAUUUGCCAAGGAUGUUUUCAUUAAUCAGGAACGAAAGUUAGGGGAUCGAAGACGAUCAGAUACCGUCGUAGUCUUAACCAUAAACUAUGCCGACUAGGGAUCGGACGAUGUAAUUUUUUGACUCGUUUGGCACCUUACGGGAAAC
rnacentral:rRNA from 1 species